rnacentral:rRNA from 1 species
UACAGAGGUCUCAAGCGUUGUUCGGAUUCAUUGGGCGUAAAGGGUGCGUAGGCGGCGCGGUAAGUCAGUGGUGAAAUCUCUGGGCUUAACUCAGAAACUGCCGUUGAUACUAUUUGUCUUGAAUAUCUUGGAGGUAAGCGGAAUAUGUCAUGUAGCGGUGAAAUGCUUAGAUAUGACAUAGAACACCGAUAGCGAAGGCAGCUUACUACAGGAAGAUUGACGCUGAGGCACGAAAGCGUGGGGAGCAAACAGG